UCCCCAGGUCCUUUGCUAGGACCUGGCUCACAGCAGCAAUCAACAAAUCCAGUGAUGAUCAGCGUCACUUGUGGCUGUCAGAAGACCCAUUCACCCUGGAUUGGUUGCAAGCCGGUUUCAUAUCAGGCCAGCCUUGGCUCAGAGAUCAUAGCCAGUGAGCAUGAAGAAGAACUUCAGAAGAGCGAAUGUUUCACAGUGCUUAAUGAAAUGGCAUCACCACAGAAUCACAAAGGAUCAGUCUAGCCACCU
rnacentral:lncRNA from 1 species